rnacentral:tRNA from 2 species
AGAAUGUGGACCUAAAAAUAGAAGUUAAACUCUUCUUAGUGAC